UACGAGGGGGGCGAGCGUUGUUCGGAAUUAUUGGGCGUAAAGGGUAGGUAGGUGGUCUCAUUUGUCUUAUGUGAAAGCCUUGGGCUUAACUCAAGAAGUGCGUAAGAAACGGUGAGACUCGAGUCCUGGAGAGGGUCGUGGAAUUCCCGGUGUAGCGGUGAAAUGCGUAGAGAUCGGAAAGAACACCAACGGCGAAAGCACUCUGCUGGGCCGACACUGACACUGAGAGACGAAAGCUAGGGGAGCGAAUGGG
rnacentral:rRNA from 1 species